UACGAAGGGGGCUAGCGUUGCUCGGAAUGACUGGGCGUAAAGGGCGCGUAGGCGGAUGGCACAGUCAGAUGUGAAAUUCCCAGGCUUAACCUGGGGGCUGCAUUUGAUACGUGUUGUCUUGAGUUCGGGAGAGGGUCGUGGAAUUCCCAGUGUAGAGGUGAAAUUCGUAGAUAUUGGGAAGAACACCGGUGGCGAAGGCGGCGACCUGGUCCGACACUGACGCUGAGGCGCGAAAGCGUGGGGAGCAAACAGG
rnacentral:rRNA from 1 species